rnacentral:rRNA from 1 species
UUGGGGAUAACAUUGCGAAAGCGAUGCUAAUACCGGAUAAUAUCCACUGAACUUCGGUUUUAUGGAUCAAAGGUGGCCUAUCCUUGGAAGCUACCGUUUGGAGAUGAGCCCGCGUACCAUUAGCUUGUUGGUAGGGUAAAGGCCUACCAAGGCGACGAUGGUUAGCUGGUCUGAGAGGAUGAUCAGCCACACUGGAACUGACACACGGUCCAGACUCCUACGGGAGGCAGCAGUGAGGAAUUUUGCGCAAUGGGGGAAACCCUGACGCAGCAACGCCGCGUGAGUGAUGAAGGCCUUCGGGUCGUAAAGCUCUGUCAAGUGGGAAGAACCCAAAGAGUGCUAAUACCACUUUUUGCUGACGGUACCACUGAAGGAAGCACCGGCUAACUCCGUGCCAGCAGCCGCGGUAAUACGGGGGGUGCAAGCGUUAUUCGGAAUCACUGGGCGUAAAGGGCGCGUAGGCUGUUUGGCAAAGUCAAAUGUGAAAGCCCUGGGCUCAACCCCGGAAGUGCAUCUGAAACUGCUGAACUUGAUUAUGGGAGAGGGAAGUGGAAUUUCCUGGUGUAGAGGUGAAAUUCGUAGAUAUCAGGAGGAACACCGGUGGCGAAAGCGACUUUCCUGGACCAAUACUGACGCUGAGGCGCGAAGGCGUGGGGAGCAAACAGGAUUAGAUACCCUGGUAGUCCACGCA